AACGAACGCUGGCGGCAGGCCUCAAACAUGCAAGUCGAGGGGGCGUAGCAAUACGUCACCGGCGGACGGGUGCGUAACACGUGGGAAUGUACCUAGUGGUUCGGAACAACGCUUGGAAACGAGUGCUAAUACCGGAUGUGCCCGAAAGGGGAAAGAUUUAUCGCCACUAGAUCAGCCCGCGCAGGAUUAGCUAGUUGGUAGGGUAAUGGCCUACCAAGGCUCCGAUCCUUAGCUGUUCUGAGAGGAAGAUCAGCCACACUGGGACUGAGACACGGCCCAGACUCCUACGGGAGGCAGCAGUUGGGAAUCUUGGACAAUGGGCGAAAGCCUGAUCCAGCCAUGCCGCGUGAGUGAUGAAGGCCUUAGGGUUGUAAAGCUCUUUUACCCGGGAAGAUAAUGACGGUACCGGGAGAAUAAGCUCCGGCUAACUUCGUGCCAGCCGCCGCCGUAA
rnacentral:rRNA from 1 species